CCCAGAAUAAGCUAAGACUUGAAAAGGAUACAAAACUCAAUAUUAGGAAAAUGUGAAGGGAAAUUACAAUGGGGGUUUUAAGUUUUAUUUGAGCAAGAAGAACAAGGAAGCAAUUUGCCUACUGCCUGGAGCAAGUGAGGUAAUGUUGACAGAUAUCAGACAGAAAGCAGAUCAUCCCCAGUUCAGUAUUUUCUGUAGAGAAGGCUGUUCAGAGAGAGAAAGGUCAAAUGAAAGAAGAACAUCUUGAAUUUAUACAAUGACUGGGAGAAGGCUUAAUGUGUUCUUAGAAUUGUAACUCCUAUUUGGAGAGAUUGCAAAAAGGAGCACCAGGGACAGAACCCUUGGAAGGGCCACAGGGGAUGGCAAAUGGCUCUCUCAGUUAGCUGGCUGAGCAUGUGAGCAGUCCGUACGACCAAGAUCAUUGUUGUCUCCAGCAGUGGAGAGCACCAGGUGAGGAUGGCAGCCACACUCACCUCCCAUUGACCUUGACCCUUCCGUCUCUCCUGUGCCUCCCUUAUUCCUUAAACCCUUCCCUAUUUUCCCUGGUGGUGAGAUGGGGAAGACGGAGGUGGCAAAAACUUUCUUUUGAUACAUCCCUCCUUUACAUGUGCUAAUAUUUUCAGUCAAACUUUUCAUCUUUUUGUCUUGGUCCCUUUUGCAUUAUCUUCAUAGCUUAAUUCUGAGAGGGUAAUGGACAUCACAUCACAUUUCUAAAUUAUUAGGGGACAUAUCUCAUCAUUUCCCCUAAAAAUUAUUUUUAAAAACUGUAUAUUAGUUCAAUACAAGGAAACAUAGACCAAAUUAUCCUUAGUAAAUAAUUAUAGUUUUGGUUGAAGUCACAAUUUGGUUGAAUUGUAAUUUUAGAAAGCAGUAAGAUAAUCUCAUCCAACACAUUUGUUUUAGAAAUGACAUAAUGGAAGCCCAGAGAAGCAUAAUAAUGUGUCAAAUUUUGAGGGGGCCGCAGAGCCUGGCCAGAUAUAGAACAGAUGUGUUGAUUUCUUUAUUGUUAGGGUGAAGGUUGCUAGCCAAAUAUCUAGCUUCCCCUUCAGCUGAAUUAAAAUAAAAUAUUGAAAACAACUUCUAAGUAAAACUGACUAUCUUAUGUUUACUUGGUAACAUGGUAGUUUGUUUAUUGUGGGUUAACUCUUUGCCUGACUAAAUGAAAGUGAAAAUGAUAUUUUCAGCCCUCCAGCACUUUUUUUUAAAAAAGGAGAUGCUUCUACAUACACACUUUCCUUUUUAAAAAUGUAUAGAAAAGUUAAUAAAUGAGUUCACUUUCAAAUCAAAGGUUUCUUGAUGUGACUUCUACAUAAUUUUCUGAAUUUUCCAAAUGAGGUAGAUCUGAAAUCCCCAGGGCAAUUUCUGUUCAUGGAUAAGCCGGAUAAGCCUGGACUUCCCAAGUGAUGUCACAGUGAGACUUGAGCUUCGAUAACCAAGAACUUCAAGACCAAACCAUCAUUUCAAGAGAUUAUCGAGAAAAUGAAUGUGAGAAGAGCUUGGUGAGAUGUUCAACUGAAAUAAUAUAGUCCUGUUUUCCUUAAGUACUUAUAAUUACAUGUUGAAAAUGAACUCUAAAAAUUUAUUGCUAUCCAGUGUCUGAAUAACCUGAAGAGAACAUUGUAAAAACUGUCUAGCAAGAUGUUUACAGCAAAAUAUUUUUAAGUGAUGAAAACAAUUUGCAAGACAAUCUAGAUACUACAAUUCAAGUUUGGGUAAAAAACAAAAAAAAGAAAAAGAAAAGAAAAGGAAAGAAUGGAAAAAAAAAUUACCUGUUGGUAGUUGUGAGUAUGUGGAAAAAAAUAUUUUCAAGGCAUCAAAACUAUCUGGAUGGAAACUCCCCGAACUGUUAGAUGUAGUUGCCUCUUGGACUAUAUGACUGAGAAGGCAGGAGAUUUUUAUUUUUCACUUUAUGAUCUUUUGUGUUUAUAUUGGUUGUACUUAGCAUUGCCAUAUUUAUAAUUUAAAAAUUCAAUUAGGAAAAGGUUAUUCAAGUUUGAAAACAUCACGUCUCACUUGAUUUAUGACUUAUUUAGGUUUGAAUAUAAUUAAUAUUUAGCAAGAAUGUGAAUGUGAAUUGCUUUUAAUUUCAGUAUCAAUGGCUUAGUAAAGCUCUUUCUGAUGCAUUAAGAUGUAAAGAAAUUAUACUGAACUCUCUAAUAUUAUUAUGUAAUAUAUAAUUUGCAGGAAUUUCAUCAGGGGCAUACAAGUCGUGGAUUUGACUGGGACAAUUUCUUGUACAUUUCCAUUGUUUUUAACAUCUUCCAGAGCCUGGGGAGUUUUCCUCUUCCUUGGAUUCCAGGAGAUAUGUUAAUAUUCUUUUAAUAAAUGCCUUUUUUGUGUAGAAAUGCUUGUUUGGUUUCUGAUAGUUGUAACCUAAAAAAUCUUUAGUAAGCCAUUGGUCUGCUGUGGGGAGCGUCGAGAUGAAACUGGAACGUUGUUUGAACCUAGAUCAUAAAGUGACUCCAACAUCUUCAUACCAGGGGUAGGAAACAUGCUUGGGAAACAUACUGUCUCUUUAGCUUGUCAAAUUACCUUAGAAUAAUUGUAUAAAGGUCUCUAUUCAGCACUUUCCAUUGUUUCACAUAUGAUUAUAUGAUGUCAUUGGAUGAGGAGGAUUUUCCUUUCAAUAGGCGGCUUUGGGUGUGGGCUGUGUGUCAGGGAAAUAGGAGCUGUAAUUGUCUCCUCUUAUCGUUCUAUCAGACUCUCUCAGCUUCUAGCAGGUAGGGGAGGACUGAGAUUUUAGAUACUAAUUUAUCUCAAUCUUGUUCGAAUCAAGUCUUUCUUGUUUCAGAGAGGAGGAAGCUGUGCUGUGAAGGAUCCUUUUUCAUCAUGAUUAUUGCAUCCACAGAAGCAGUGAUAAAUUCUAACAGAUAAUGCAACUCAGUCUACUUGGAUGUUCACACCUGAGACUGGAGAAGACCUGCUGCCUUCUGCAGAGCCAAACAUUCCUCACAUGCUCCUCCACAAUGCUGAGUUAAUGCAGCAAGAAUAGUCUUAUAUAGACUAUAAACUCCUGGUACACUGUGUCUACAUUGCUCACUGCAGUAUCCCAACAUCUAAGACCAUGGUCUUAGAUGUCUGGUACAGGACUGGUGCUCAGUAUGCAUUGAAUGAAUAAAUGAAUGAAUAUAGCAAAGCAUUCCAUGAUGUUCUCUUGAAUUCAUUUAUUCUUUGGAAUUUGGUUAUUUUUUUUUGUUUUUUUGGUGCAGUGGUUAUGUACUACUAGGGGUAUGAUAUGGGUUCUUCAAUAAAUCUCUUCAAAUUAUAAUAAAGAUUUAGCGCUAACCUUCUGCUCACUAUCUCCCUCUAAGUACUACAGAUGGAUGUGAUUAGCAUGCAAUUUAUCAUCUUGAUGGAAUUCAUGUCUUACAGGCCUAUGGCUUUCAAAAUUGAAGUAUCUAGAUUUAUGUUAUUUUGUCAAAUAGGAAAUGGUUUUACUCUAUUGAGAUUCCUACACUUAAAAAUUUAUAUAGACCUUAAAAAAAUCCUAAAGAAGAGUUUGAAAAGUAUGGUUAGGCAUUCUUCUAGCCAUAUAGACUAUAGAGGAGAAUAAGUUUAAGGAAAUCAUCAAGUAAAGUCAAGAACAUAGUAAAAAUGGUAACAUACCACCUUCAUGUAAGAUAAAACCAGAUAAGAUUUUAAAAAGAAGCAUUUAUGCUAUGCUUAGGAAGCCAAUCCUGUUGAAAAAACUGAUAUUGCAGCCAUAUCUGUCUGUGAGUAGUUGUAACAAUGCUGUAGGUAACAUUUCUGAGAGCAUGAUACAGUGUAGGGGGAAUCGAUCUGUGGUCUUGGGGUCCUUGGGGAAAAGGGUAUAUGAAGAGUUCUUCCAAAGUGGCCUCUAAAUCCACCUGUGUAGUAAACAGUGUCUGACAACUAAAUAAAUAAUUUCCAUGUGUACUUACGGCUGUGUUUUAAAUGGAUGCAAGGGCUGGAGUGAUAACUACAGUUCAAUU
rnacentral:lncRNA from 1 species